UUUUUUUUUUUUUUUUUUUUUUUGUGUCAGGGUGAUUAAAGGAAUACAAAAUUCUUGGAGACGACAUGGUCUUUAUAAUAAAAAAUAUAUAUAUAUAUAUAUAUAUAUAUGAAGGGCAGCUUUGCAUAUUUUAAGGUUGGUAAAGUCAAGGUAGAGAAAUUGAACCACUUGUGAUUCAUUAGCUUCAGAGGCCAAAGAUUCCAACACUAUUAAUAUGUGUUUUAGCUAAGUGAAGGGGUAGGGGCGUGAAGAGGGUUUGCAAUUGCAUAGCAAUGUUGGAUUUGAGUCCAUUAUAUGUACUUUGAUUUAGUUGAGCUAAAUCCCUUUUUUUUUUUUGACUCAACUGUUCUAGAAAGCAGGAUCGAGCUCGGCGGAAUCAAUUUACCUGCAGAAAUACCCUUUUUUUUUUGGUUGGGAUUGAAUUUAGAUUGCAGGAGUUGAGUUGGAAAUAUUCCAAGCGCAACGCAAUGGGAGUCUAUGAUUCCCCAGCAAUGAUGUUGCAGGGCAGGAGGAGCCAGGAUUAGGAUUAUGAAUAAAGUAACCACAAAUUGAUACAGUUGGUCUGGCAAUUAGUCCCAUAUGUGAUUUGUAAUUUAUGUAUGCACAGUAGCCAAUGGAUAGCUUCUUUGAAAGUUAAGUUAAACGCUUUGAGUCAUGAGUUGUGCCUAACCACCAACCCCCUGCAGUAUUAGUAUUAGUACUAGAUCAGUAAUUUUUUUUUUUGACAUCUGACUUUUUUUUUUUCCUUUGUAUUGGUUGGUUAAUCAGUCCCCGCCAAUAAUUAUCAUGAAUGAUUACAACAUCCAAAUUAAAAAAGAUGUGAUAUGAAGCAUAUCAUAUUAGUAUUAAAAUACACGACAUAUCCUAAGUUUCCAAUUGCUUUCAUCAUGAGGAUGUCCACAAAAGUUCUACUACUUAAUUAAUUUUUAUGUGCUAAUUAGGCACACAUGUUAGAUUAGUUGAGAAACCGAUCGAUCAAACCAGUUAAGCAUGUUCGUUAAUUAUGUCAAGCUCGAGUCUUAACACGUCUUCUUGCAAUUAAACUUAAUAAAUUAAGUGCCUUUACGCAUUUGAAAGAAGAAAGAGCACCAUUAAUUACCAUUUUUUGUUUUUCCUUGUAGCAUUCUUUUUUCACUCUCUAUAUUAUUAUAUGUGAAUGGAAUUAUGGAACCAACCCCACACUAAGCGUGGAUUCAUUUGUAUUAGUAGAAGGUCUUGACGUUCGGUAAUGAACACAAGGAACUGGACUCCAUAUCUAAGAAGUUAUGGUAGCAUUUGCUUUCAAGUUCCAAUGCUCAUAUUAAUCAUGAUUUCUAUCUGGAAUUAAUAUUUCUAUGCACCUUGAUGGAUAUUUACAAUUCUUUCUUUCAAUUAACCAACAAUUUUUUUAAAGUGAUAAUUCCAUUCACAAACUAAAUUACUAUGAACUAUAUAUGUCAGUCAAUUUUGUUAAGCAAAGCUUUAAAUGAAUUUUCUAGAAGGAGUUGAUGAGAAUGGACGCACUUGAUUUAGUCAAAUUUAUAAUCAACCAUUACGAAACCUUAAAAACAAAAAAAAAAAAAAAGAUUUGUUUGAUAUUUCUUAUCAACUAAACGAACGAGAAGACAACGAAGAAACUUUCACCUAAAAGAUGGAAAAUCGAAAUCCAUAUUACCAUUGCUAGUAGACUAUCAAACAAAAGAUACACAAAAUUACAACAUACAUUGAAAGAGAGGUGCUACUCUGCUCUAUGACCAACGAUCAAUCAGAAGGAAUUGAAAAUUUUUCUAGAAAGUGAAGAUUUUGCCAUGACUAAAUUGACAAUCGAUCGUGGUAUGAGGUAGAGCUGUUUUCCUAGUGAUAUGUGGUUUGUGUGUUGAAACUUUUGUAAGUGUGACUGUAGAAUCAUAUUUUUUAAUGGCCUAAACAGAUUUCCAAGUGGGUUAUCUAUAUCUUCAAGAUUCAUUGUAGUUCACCAAUUUGUGAUUAUUUUCAAUGAAUCGCAGAUGAUCAUAACCAGUGGCCGACACGGCAUCUUGUUGCUCUUGUUUGAGCUAGGUCAAGCAAAGGAAUUUUAGCGCCAAAAACAAACAAUAUAUAGGGUUAGAAUCAACAUAAGUUGAGUUACCCUUUGCUAGAUUCUAAAUUUUAACUUUUUUGGCCUAUUAAAAAAAAUCUACAAAAAACAAGCCAAGUAUAGGGCCAUAUAAUGUUAUUGAUAUUUCACUUUAUGAAAUCUUUUUAUUUCUCGGAACUGCGGCAGGCAUAUGCACGCUCAAAGACAUUGGCCGAGAAAGAAGUGCUGAGAUACAAUGAUGAGAAGAAAUUAGAGGUGGUGAGUCUUGUUUGUGGACUUGUUGGAGGAUACAAAUUUCAAUCCUUGAUAGGCGAAAGCAUGAGAGUGCUAGUAUCCCAUGUUACCAAAGCCAAGAUGAGGUAUCAAAGGUUUUUGGUGGGAGUGAUUGGAAAACUUCCAGUUUUGCACGUUGAAGAUGUUAUUGAUGCCCAUAUCUUCUGCGUGGAAAACCCGGGCUUCACUGGCAGAUUUCUAUGUGCUUCUGAUCUUCUAAAAUCAGAGGAGAUUGCAACGUUGAUUCAAAGUUGUUGCUCAGAAAGCAAAAUUCCCGAUGAGUAAGGCUUACCUUUAACCAUUUUUAUAAAUUAUAUUGAUGUGCCAUAGUUUUAGAGUCUGUCUUUGGGUCUUUGAAAUCAUAGGAACUUCCGUCGUAUCAAAAUGAGUAAAUGGUAAAAAUGGUCGCUACAUUAUUUAAAGUGGCAUGGUCUAGUUACUAAUCUUUUUUCCUUCUUCGAUCAAAAAGGUCAUUCAACUCCUUAAAACGGAUCUUUCAUGUCAUAUCGUCCAAUUUAACUAAUAAACCAAUCUAAAAAAAAGAAAAAAAAAACAUAUUUUGUAACCUUUGGCCAAAUAACUUUUGAGCAAAACUCACAAGCACAAAAUAGUUAACCCGAGUUGUUUAGUAGUUUUUGGACCCAAGCUUAUAAGCCAAAGAUUUCAUCUCCGACUCUACUGAUGUGGGACAAAGGAACGGGUAUCACAUAUUUGACCUACUCUUAUAGGUUUUCAGGAGAAAAAGUCCUAAAAUAUAGAUCAUUUUCGGUAAAUUUAGCAGAGACUGACUCAAAAAGCCUGUUUUAAGGAAUUGCAUGACCUUUUUGCCCCAAAAAAAAGGUUUAAUGAUCAAAUCGUGCUAUUUUAAAUAGUUUAAUCACCAUUCUCGUCAUUUGCUCUAUCAAAAUUUGAGUUACACAGAAACGUACUUUAAGUCUAGUGUUAGCCAUAUACAAGUUAAAUCUGAAUAUCAUCCGUAGGACAAAUCACAUGAAUAACAAUGCAGUUUAGCCGAAAGUGAAUCGUUAGUUUAACUUUGAAACGUUACCAUUGGAAAGACCAUAAUAGUCGUUUAAAUUUAAGAGGGCAGAAUCUUAUCAGUACUUCAUAGUAUAUUUCUUUUUUUCCAACCGUCCUUUAUUUUUGCUUUACCCAUCUGGAGCAGUGUUUACUCAGCCCAGAACUGUUUCUCUUCAUGGUAUGAAAUGGGAAAUGGGGUAAAUGAACCAACGGAAGUUCAUGCACACCCCAAUCUGUCGAGAGGGCCUAGACCCAAUAAAUGUUCCAAAUUAUCCAAUGCCAAGGCAAAGACUUGGAUCCACUCUGUCCUCCAACCGGCUUUACCAACUGUGAUUGAGGAGUAUAAUGCUAAGGCAAAAACUUGCAUAAACUCGAUCCACCAUUUAAUAUAGAUCUCGUGGAGAUAAAUAAGGCACGUCACUUUUUUUUUUGCUUUACGACCUUCAGGCAUUUCGGAAAAAAAUGACGUGACAAGUUUGUGGCCACACGAUCUAUAGCGUUGCCAGUGGACCAGUUUGUCCAAGUAUUUGCCUAAUGCCAACUGUUUGGUGUGCACGCUGGUAGACGAAGUACUUUUUUCUGACGUCAAUAUACUGUGGUUAACAAUAAUUAUGUUCUGAUUGUGGCUUUUUUUUUUUUCAGGUUCAUUGAGGAUUCGAAUAGAGAUAUUAGAUGGGGUUCUUCAAAGCUGGAGGAAUUGGGCUUUCACUACAAAUAUGACGCUGUGAUGACCCUAAAUGACUCUCCUCAGUAUUUCAGGGUUCCACUGGAGAGUUCCUAAAACACUACCAUAUAAGCAUGUUUCUGUUCAGUCAUUUCUAAUAAGGCUGAGAAAUCCCACCUUACAAGUAAGGAAAAGUUUAUGGUCCCUUUUGGGAACCAUUUUAUCAACUUGUAUCUCUCAUUAAAGAUAAUAAUUUAAAUUUUAAACAUUUAAUAAUGUUUAAACUAGAGGUCAAUAGCAUUUUUUUCACCAUCUAACGAUGAAUUUCACUUGCGGGUAUGAUAUCAAAAUGGACCGUAGAAUCACCUUAAAAGUAAAACCCUUUUUUGUGUCAAAUCUCAAUAGAUAAUAUAAUAAAAAUAGGGUCUCUCACAUUUUGUAAAAUAAUUUUUUCGUCUCUCACUUUUAAAAAUGUAAUUUUACGUCAUUUAUAAAUUCACAUUGGUCAAAUUUGGUCCCUACCUAAAUUUUCGACUAAUUUUUUGUCGAAAUCUAUCACGUGCCUUGCAGGUGAUCAUUUUUAAGGGGUAAAAUCGUGAAAUCAAAUUUUACAUAAUCCGAUCUAUAGUCCCUCACAUUUCACAAAAUGAAUUGUUUCAUCCAUCACAUUUUAUAAAAUGAAUUUUUCAAUCCCUCAUUGACCAUGUGUACAAAUAUUUUUUCUUUAAACUCAUGUAUAUAUCUAUUUGAUUUCACCUGAAUACUAUGAAUAACAUAUAACAUAUCUCUAUUUGAUUUCAUCUAAACAGGCUAAUUGUAGUUGUACACAUGCUAUUCAAUAGAUAUAUACUUGCGUUUAAAGCUAACAAGUUUGUUUUAAACUCAUGUAUAUACCCAUUUGAUUUCACCAUGUGAACCUAUUCAAUAUUUAUGACCUUUUCUCUUUUGGUAAUAAUUCAUUUAUUGAGUUGUAUAAUAAGACCAUCUAAUUAAUCGGUCCUAAUUUGAAUUCUAUAGUCAUAAUAACAAAUUGCAAUUUAAAUUUGAAAUUUCUACUCGCCACCUUUAAGACCAACAGUUAAACUACUUGUCUUGUGAUUGUUUUAAAAUUUGAGAGUGCCAAUCACUUACUUCUUUUUGUCAUACUUUUCAUUUAUUUAUUUUUUCUCUUCAAAUUUAAUUCGAUAUAAACAUUCGAUAAUGUUUAGGAUUAAAUGUCUUAUUUGUUUUCAAUUUUUGAGUAAAAAGAAAUGAACAUGAGUGAAAAAAUAACAAUUUUUUUAAAUUCAUAUAUAUAUCUAUUUAAUUUCGUCUGAACAAUAUGUUUAGAUGAAUCAAAUAGAAAUAUAUUACAUGCUAUUCGUACUAUUUAAGUGAAAUCAAAUAGAUAUAUAUAUACAUAUAUAUGGGUUAAAAAAAUUAUUCAUAUAUAUGAUCAAUGAAAAAUAAAAAAAUUCAUUUUAUAAAAUGUGAAGAGUGGAAAAUUUUAUUUUGUGAAAUGUGAGAAACGAAAAAAUUCAUUUUGUAAAAUGUGAGAAAUUAUGGAUCGGAUUAUGUAAAAUUUGAUUUGACAAUUUUUCCCUUAAAAAAUGUUCACAUAGAAGGCACGUAGUGGAUUCUGAUAAAAAAUUAAUUGAAAACUUAUGUAGGGAUCAAAUUUGACCAAUGUUAAUUUGUAAAAGACGUAAAAUUACACUUUUAAAAAUAAGGGACAAAAAAAGUUAUUUUACAAAAUGUAAGUGACAUUUUGAAUGAUUUUCCCGUAAAAAUAUGUUGAAUAAGUGAAAAAAAUAUAAAUAAUGCCACUUUCAGAAGAAAUUCUUGAAGUGGACUGUCAUUCAAUGUUGUUGAAAUGGUCAAAACAAUCUUUAUGAUUUUUAUAUUUUGUGGUUUAUUUAAUGACCAUACGUACUAACGGUCUGAUACUGGAUUGCAUGAAUUAAAGGUACAGGCGACUCUAGGGUCUGGCCUUUUUGCUUUCAAUUUUGCCUCCUACUCCUUUUUAUUUUUUAUUUUUUAUUUUUUCAGAAUCUGUUCUCUAGUUUUUGAGUCUGAUAACAUGAUUUUAGCCGAUCAGCUUACUCAAGAUUCAUCUACCAAAAGGUUUAUUUUGCUAAAUCAAACAUUGAAACUCGAUUUAAUUUAUAAUUCUACGUACACAUCACCUGAAGGAAAAAGGUGACCAUACAUCAAUCAUCAUGAAAUACAGAAAUUACAAAUGAACACUACCUACUAUGAUUGAUAUCUUCCGAGAUCAAAUCAGCAUUUAAUUUUUUUUUGACAUCUGAUUUUGUUUUCCUUUGUAUUGGUUGGUUAACCAGUCCCCGCCAAUAAUUAUCAUGAAUGAUUGCAAACAUCCAAAUUAAAAAGAUAUGAUAUGAAGCCUUAAUUAAUUAAAACCUUAAUUAAAUUUUAUGUACUUCAAUGAGAACCGAUCGAUCAAACUAGUUAAGCAUGUUCGUUAAUUAUGUCAAGCUCGAGUCGUAACACGUCUUCUUGUAAUUAAACAUAAUAAAUUAAGCGCCUUUACGCAUUUGAAAGAAGAAAGAGCACCAUUAAUUACCAUUUUUUUGUUUUUCCUUGUAGUAUUCUUUUUCAGUCUCUCUAUAUUAUUAUAUGUGAAUGGAAUUAUGGAACCAACCCCACACUAAGCAUGCAUUCAUUUGUAUUAGUAGAAGGUCUUAACGUUCGGUAAUGAACACAAGGAACUGGACUCCAUAUCUAAGAAGCUAUGGUAGCAUUUUCUUUCAAGUUCCAAUGCUCAUAUUAAUCAUGAUUGCUAUCUGGAAUUAAUAUUGAAAGAAAAAUAUUUACGCAGCGGAAUGAGCAAACAAUUUUUCGAUGUUAUUGCUUGAAUUUGCAAUUUGAUUCAGGCCUUGAUAUUUCAAAACAAAUAAAUACUUACUUGUUUAGACGAAUAUGCGAUGCCUGCUACAGAUGUUCGAAUUCCAGCAAUCAGCCUUCCACGCGUUACGCCUCUAGCUCGUCCACACAGACUCAAACUAAUGGAUUACUGAAUUUUGGAGUUUUGUCUUUUGUAGAGAAGAAAUAACUUUCUUUCUUUUCAAAAGACCAGCCGCAAUUGCCUCUCACCCUUUUUGGGACCUUGCCCAACUUUUGUCAAUAGGGUUUUAUUUAUAUAGUUGUUUUGAUUAGAUCAAUAUCUUAUACUAUCUUGAUCAAAUCAAUAUAACACAACUCAUAUGAUUAUCCAACCCAUAUUUGAUUCUUAUCUUGAUCAAAUCAAAACAACCGAUAUAUAUUUUAUUCUCAUCUUGAUCAAAUCAAAAUAGAAUAAAAUUAAUACAAUUAUUUAAUUCAUGUUUUAGUUUUGAUCACAUCAAAAUAUAAACACCAUUAAUAUAAUUAUAUUAACUGUUCUCUUCAUCUUUAUAAUAUUUGAGUCAUACAUAAAUACCAACUCCAAAUUCAGUCUAGAUUGGGUUUCAAGAUGUGCUAGCAUACUUACCAAAGUAUAAACCCAUUCUAAUCAAUUUCCCUAUUAGUUCAAAUCCUUUUGUGUGUGACUAUCUAGGUUCAUUACCCAGUUGGCAAUGUAAUAAACGUUAACCUAUUAACAUUAGUUAGAACAUUUCUAACACUUGAGAAGUUCUCCAAAUAUACCUCAAGUUAACAUAGUUCAUGAGUGAUGCCUAGCAGCAUAUCAUGACGCCCAACCGAUGAUGAAAGAUUGGAAUCCUUCUACGUGAACCAUGACUGCAAUUGUUUUGCAUAAAAAUCCUUCUAUUACUAUAUCCCUAUUGAGUUCAGUUUAGUAAUAAUGUCAAACUCUAAAACUCAAUCGUAUGACUUAAUCUAUCAAAUUACUUGACUAUAAAAUUGAUCAUCUACAUGAAUCAAUUUGUCUUGGCCAAGAACUCCUUUAGUCAAGAUUGAUAGAUUUCAUAAGAUAUCAAACCAUUCAUGAUGGAAUAAUAGAUCCCAUUUUGCAUAAACACUUGGCUCCAUGCAUAACUAAUUAGAGGUACCAUAUGCCAAUACUCAUCCGUGAUUAGAACAAGUAUUUUCUGCAUUGAUAGACUUUAACCACCCAUGAAUGAGCCAACCAUGUCAUCUCAGGUCUAAGGAUCACAUGCACCAUUGCAAUCAAUAAUGAAUCAUUGACAUUAAUAAGCUAAUGAUUCAUUAUUUAAAUUAGUUAGUGUUCAAGCCAACUUGUCACACAAGUGCCUCUCAUAUUUGUUCUAAUAUCACAUACUUAAUGGUAUGAGACUCGCCAUUCUAUUAUCAUUAAUAUCUCAUAUUAAUCAUAGAAAAUAAAUAUGAGACUAAUCUUCCGAAUUAAACUUGUCCAAUUAAUAAUCCUAUGAUUAGGAACAAUUUAAUAUUAUUUGUACCAAGUUUUUCCGUCACUCAUAUUCUCAUCACAUGAGAAUGGAAUCUUAACAAAUAAUAAUGGACAACAUUCAAUCAAAUCUAAACCAAGAAUAAUUGAAUCAAGAAGUGCCAUUUUAUUUUAAUCAAGACAAUAAUUAUUAAUGCUCUAGGGCAUACUGCUAACAAAUAUUUCUAUGCACCUUGAUGGAUAUUUACAGUCUUUCUUUCAAUUAACCAACUUUUUUUUUAAAGUGAUAAUUUCAUUCACAGACUAAAUUACUAUGAACUAGGUCAGUCAAUUGUGUUAAGCAAAGCUUUAAAUGAAUUUUCUAGAAGGAGUUGAUGAGAAUGGACGCAAUUGAUUUAGUCAAAUUUAGAAUCAACCAUUACGAAACCUUAAAAACAAAAAACAAAAAAAAAAAGAUUUGUUUGAUAUUUCUUAUCAACUAAACGAACGAGAACACAACGAAGAAACUUUCACCUAAAAGAUCGAAAAUCGAAAUCCAUAUUACCAUUGCUAGUAGACUAUCAAACAAAACGCACUUGAGUUUUUUGCCAAAUUUGUCAGUUACAAGUUUUUUAAAAACUUUAGUUAUAGUAAUCUAAAAAAAUUUCUCAAAAAUUUUAAACUAUACAUUUCAAAAUAUAUAAAAAUUUACACACUUCAAAAAAUUUUUUAAAAUUUAUAUAAUAAGUUACAGUAAAGUUUUAGACAAACGCCUAAAAAAUUCAUUUCUUAAAUAGGGCCAUAGAUUGAAAGAGAGGUGUUACUCUGCUCUACAACCAAUGACCAAUUAGAAGGAAUUGAAAGUUUUUCUAGAAAGUUGAAGAUUUUGCCAUGACUAAAUUGACAAUCGGUAAUGGUAUGAGGUAGAACUGUUUUUCUAAUGAUUUGUGGUGUGCGUGUUGAAACUUUUGUUAGUGCGAUUCUUCAAUGGCCUGAAUAGAUUUUCAACUGGAUUAUCUGUAUUUUCAAGAUUCAUUGUAGUCCACCAAUUUGUGAUUAUUUUCAAUGAAUGGCAGAUGAUCAUAACCAGUGGCCAACACGGCUUCGUGUUGCUCUUGUUCGAGCCAGGUCAAGCCAAGGAAUUUAGUGCCAAAAACAAACAAAAUAAAGUGAAUUUUUUUUUAUAAAAAAAAAAAAAAAAAGAAAAAGAGAGAGAGAGAGAGCCUUAAGCUAAGACAUGAAUAUUCGGGGAUUUCCGGUAUGGGUCAUUUAAUGAAAUGAAUAUCGUCCAGUUACCACCCAAAACAAAAAAAGGAAAAAAAAAAAAAAAAGAACAUCCAUACGCCAAAAUUAUUGGUAAAUGGUCACAACAAUAUACUAUUCGGUAUUGUUAAGCAAACAUAAAUAAGUUCAGUACAAAUAGAUGCUAGUUUUCGUUUCAAAAUUAGUGGAUUAUUAGUUGGUUAUUGAUUGUAAUGUUAUUAAAUAUAAUUGGUAUAUAUUAAUUCCACCACUGUGGACUGAUUAUAAUCAUAUGAAAAUUUUUUCCCCCCUUUUGUAAGGCUCAUUUCUCAUUUAUUUUUUUCAUUAAGUGUAAACUUCAAUUUUUUAAAUUUACUUUUAUAAGUGAAAGACGUCGAAUUAAGAACCUCCCAUUUAUAAUAUUUUUUAUCUUAUCAUCUAAUCCAAUCCUGGUCAACAACUUCAAGUUUCCUUCCUACCCAAUCCAAUCCUUCCCGGUCGACAACUUCAAGUUUCACUUCCUAGCAAAACUCAAACAAUUAUUCAAGUUCUUCUCAAUAGUUAUAUAAGAAACCUCCAAAAACACCAAGCACCAUAUCUUGAAAAUAGUGGAUGACAUCAUCCACUAUUUAUCAUCCACUAUUUUUGAAGAUAUGGAUUGGAAACGUCAAUUUUGGCGACAUAACGUAAUCGAGGACUGAGGACGAGAUGUCAGUGAUCGUGGAAAAAAUUUGGCUUUCACAAUAUAAUAAUAAUAUAUAACAAUACAGGCAGAUUAUGCUACAUUAUAUUAUUAUACUACAAGAGGAAAAAGAUUCACCUGAGCGCAAGUGGGAGCACCAUGCUCCAGCAUCAAUGUACUCCGAUCCUCGAGAAGCAACAAAUGACCACCCCAGCCUCCAAAGUAAAAUUAAUUAUAGGGAUAAUUUCAAAAAACCUCCCCUAAAGUUUAAAAAAUUACACUUAUAUCCCUUAAUUUAAUAGUUUUAAUAAUAAAACCUUAAAAUAAUAUUGACUUGAUCAAUUUUUUAAAUGAAUAUCCAAAAAAUGCACUUGUCUGAUGAAUUUUAAUUUAUUUUUCUAUACAAUUAUAAGAUUAUUUAGUAUAAUUAUAAGGCAAAUGUACCAAAAUUUUCAUGCCUAUUUCUACUAUUUGAUAAAUAAUUAUAAUAAUAAUUUUAUUACUAUGAUAUGAUGCUUUUGAUGGUAUUUUAUUAUAAAUUUUGAUUUAUAAGAUAGAAAUGAAAAUGUUGAAAUAGUUCAUUUAGAGUUUAUGAAUUUUUGGAGCGGUGGGAUAUCAUAUUUUAAUAGUGGUUUUGGGCCAUUAUUUAUUUAUUUUUAAUUUUAAUACCAAAAAAAGAUUACAAAUAUCAGCAAAAACAUUGGAUUGCAUAUAAAAUUAACUCAUAAAAAAAUCACUACUUCGACAUUUAGUUAUAAUAAAAACUAGAGGCAAUAGUGGUAGUUCUAUAAUUUUAUUGGUAAGCAAUUUAAAAAAAAAGAAUGAAAAAAUAAUUUAAAAACUCAUUCUAAGAAUAAGCAUGCCAAAUAGGCCUGUCAACGGGUCGGAACUAAUAAAUCCGGACCGAACCCGUUAUUCUAUACCAGUUUCGAAUCCGACUCGGAUAUCCGACGGGUAUUCUAUUCUUUCUCCAGGAACCGGAUCCGGCGGGUCCUAGAUCCAGGUCGGACCUACCCGAAAAAAUUAUAUAUUUUUAAAAUAAUAGUUACAGAAGUAAAUUUGGAAUAUUAUAUUAAUAAAUAUAUACUUUUUAAAUUAUUAAUCAAUUUAUAUUCGGGUUCGGGUCGAAUACGGGUCGAAAAUACCACAUUUCGUAUCCGAUUUGUUUUUUGUUUAACAAAACGGAUCCGGAUCCGGGUCCCGGAAUUAUAUCCCUACCCGUAUCCGAAAUAAUUUGACUGAUCCGGUCCGGAUUCAAUAGACCGUUGACAAGCCUAAUGCCAAAUAAGGAAAUUUCAUUAAAAUAUUUAAAAAUAAAAUUAUUAUUUUAAAUAAUAAGGGAGGUAUGUAUAAUUUUUUAAAUUUCAGGAGAGCUCAAUGUGAUUGUCAGAAACCUAUAUCCCUUAAUUAUAUUGUGCUGUAUCAUGCAAACAAAGUGCUCCUAUAUACAACCCUUGGCCACAUCAAUCAGUCACCAGAUUUAAUUGCAAAAAAUGAACACCAAGGUUUGCGUCACGGGAGCUGCAGGCUAUCUCGGUUCUGCCCUCGUUCACAAGUUGCUGGAAAAAGGGUAUGCCGUCCAUGCUACUCUCCGGAAUUUAGGUAGGCAACCUGCCAUGCCAAUCUUUACUUCUUGGUCUCUCUCUGUCUUUCUUUCUAUCACUUACACACUGCCUAAGUAAUGAGGAGAUGGCUGAGCAAUUAGAGCUAUUAGGGUCGAAGUACUGGCGGGCUUUGUUAUACGUUGACAGGCUAAUUAAGCAAGAAGGGUUUCGUUUUAACAGCUAAAUACUUGUAUGUGAUGAUCUAGGAAAAAAGUUAAGAAAGUAGUGCACAUGUACGUGCAGGUGAUGCAUCAAAGACAGGGCUGCUCAAAGCUCUUCCCCACGCAGACACAAGGCUCUUAUUGUUUCAGGCAGAUAUCUACAAUCCUGAUGAGUUUGGUCCUGCUAUUCAAGGCUGCCAGGUGGUUUUCCACGUUGCCACUCCCUUGCAGCACGACGCCUCCAGCUCUCAGGUUCCAAUUCUCGAACCGUUAGAGAAGAAAAAAAAUGGAAAAAAAAACUAUAAUGUUGCUGCUGGGUUAAUGAUGCUUUCUUUCAAAAUUAACGAAGCUAAAACGGAAUUUCCCUACAGCAAUAUGAAGAAAUUCUCCUCCCUGGAACGAUUUGUGGAGGAUAUUGUUUUGAUUUCACGAGGUGAAGAACCAAAACUAGUUUCAUUGAUGCCUCAGAUGUAUGCUAUUCAAAUACACAGUUUCAGCGAUGCCUCUUGAAAAAGUACCCAUUUAAUAGGCACCCUUUUAGGGAAUACACACAUAUCUUUUCUUAAGAUUCAACCAAAAUGGCCCAAAGUGCCGAUUUAUUGACUUUUGAAUAUAAUCUAUUGCAACAGUCAAAAGAAGACAAAUGCGCAUGACACUCAGCAAUUUUCCUCCAAAAGUUUCCCACAAAAGAAAUUCAACUGAGUUGGUGUAAAGCUUUAAUUUAUGUCUUUUGAUCUUCUACAAACUUUCCAAUUUGGGAUUCCAACCAAUACACCGCCAACGAUACUUACAAUACAUAGCAUUAACUACCCCACUAGAUGGUGUAUUAUGUGGGCGUGUUUGGAUAGAAGAUUAUUUGGGAUUUUUUUUUUUUGAAAAAAAUAUUAUAGCAUUUUUUGAUGUGACAUAUAUGAGAUCACAUAAAAAAUUGAUUCAAAAAUAUGCUGAUGCUAUAUGCAAAUAAAAGGGCGAAAAAUUAUUAGUAUUAUUAUGCUCGUGUGACUUACAUUACAUGUCUAUCAAGUACAGCUGAAAGUUUGCAUCGGCACUGUUGUGGUAGACGAUUAGUAUAUAUAUUAACUAUAGGAAGAAUGCAGAAAUGGCGUGCCUGAUGAACUUAUAAUUUGGGAGUCGAUUUUGAGGACCUAAGGAGAUCGAGUUUAAGGUGCCUGAAACCAAUUUUUGGGACUUAAAUUUCGAUUAAUUUGAGGUGCAUUACGGCAGCAUAUUUAAACUGGUUGGAUUAAUUGUUCUGUGACCCUAUCAAGUGUACAAUGAUUACGCAUGCAGUAUAAGAAUACUUGUGAGGCAGCUGUUGCUGGGGUGAAGACCAUUGCUGAAUCCUGCAUCAAAUCAGGAACUGUGAAGCAACUCAUCUACACUGCCUCUGUUGUAGCAUCAUCAGCAUUAAAGGAUGAUGGAUCAGGCUACAAGGACACAAUCGAUGAAUCCUGUUGGACUCCUCUCAAUGUCUCCUAUAGAUGCGCCACAGAUUUCUUAACUGUAUGUAGUAGGUCUAUCCUCAUUCUUACUCAGAUUGCACUGCUUUAGCAAAGUAUAUUUGGAUUAUUAGUUUCAAUCUAAUCUCUUAUGAUAACAAGCCUAAUGCCUUAUUCUCGUUUGCUUUAAAAUUAAUUUUUUGUCAAAAUUAACGUGGAAACUGAUUAUAUAGAAUAAUUAGAAUCAACAUGAGUUAAUGUUACCCUUUGCUAGAUUCUAAAUUUUAACUUCUUUGGCCUAUUAAAAAAAAUCUACAAAAAAAAAAAAAAAGUCAAAUAUAGGGCCAUAUGAUGUUAUUGAUAUUUCACUUUGUCAAAUCUUUUUAUUUCUCGGCGCUGCGGCAGGCAUAUGUACGCUCAAAGACAUUGGCCGAAAAAGAAGUGCUGAGAUACAAUGAUGAGAAGAAAUUAGAGGUGGUGAGUCUUGUUUGUGGAAUUGUUGGAGGAUACAAAUUUCAAUCCUUGAUAGGCGAAAGCAUGAGAGUGCUAAUAUCCCAAGCUACCAAAGACAAGAUGAGGUAUCAAACUCUAAGGUUUUUGGAGGAAGUGAUUGGAAAAAUUCCAGUUUUGCACAUUGAAGAUGUUAUUGAUGCCCAUAUCUUCUGCGUGGAAAACCCGGGCUUCACUGGCAGAUUUCUAUGUGCUUCUGAUCUUCUAAAAUCAGAGGAGAUUGCAACGUUGAUUCAAAGUCGUUGCUCAGAAAGCAAAAUUCCCGAUGAGUAAGGCUUACCUUUAACUACUUUUAUAAAUUAUAUUGACGUGCCAUAUAGUUUUAGAGUCUCUCGUGGGUCUUUGAAAUCAUAGGAACUUCCGUCGUAUCAAAAUGAGUAAAUGGUAAAAAUGGCCGCUACAUUAUUAUUUAAAGCGGCACGGUCUAGUUAUCAAACUUUUUUUCUUUUUCGAUCAAAAAGGUCAUUCAACUCCUUAAAACGGGCAUUUAGUGUCAUAUCGACCAAUUUAAUCAAUAAAUCAAUCUAGAAAAAGAAAAAAAAAAUCUUUUGUAACCCUUGGCCCAAAUAAAUUUUGAGCAAAAUUCAUAGGCACAAAAUGGUUAACCUAAGUUGUUUAGUAGUCUUUGGACCCAAGCUUAUAAAGACAAAGGAACGGGUAUCAUAUAUUUGACCUACUCUUAUAGGUUUUCAGGAGCAAAAAAGUCCUAAAAUAUAGACCCUUUUUGGUUAAUUUAGCAGAGAAUGACUCAAAAAGCCUGUUUUGAGGAAUUUACAUGACCUUUUUGCCCCAAAAAAAAGGUUUAAUGACCAGAUCGUGCCAUUUUAAAUAGUUUAAUCACCAUUCUCGCCAUUUGCUCUAUCAAAAUUUGAGUUACACAGAAACAUACUUUAAGUCUAGUGUUAGCCAUAUACAAGUUAAAUCUGAAUAUCAUCCGUAGGACAAAUCACAUGAAUAAGAAUGCAGUUUAGCCGAAAGGGAAUCGUUAGUUUAACUUUGAAACGUUACCUACUGUAAUUUAUUGGAAAGACCAUAAUGGUGGUUGAAAUUUAAAAGGGCAGAAUCUUGACGGUAUAUUUCAUUUUUUCCAACCGUCCUUAUUUUUGCUAUACCUAUCUGGAGAAGUGUUUACUGAGCCCAGAACUGUUUCUCUUCAUAGUAUGAGAUGGGCAAAGAUACCAAGAAAUGGAUAAUGAACCAACAGAAGUUCAUGCAACCCAAUCUGUCAAGAGGGUCUGGACCCAAAAAAUGUUCCAAGUGACCCAAUACCAAGGCAAAAACUUGGAUCCACCAAUUGUUGGACUUAAAUCCACUCUGUCCUCCAACCGGCUUUACUAGCUGUGAUUGAAGAGUACAACGCUAAGGUAAAAACUUGCAUAGACCCGAUCCACCAUCUGAAUAUAGAUCUCGAGGAGAUGAAUAAGCCAUGGCGCUUUUUUUUGCUUUACGAUCCUCAGGCAUUUCGCAAAAGAAAUGACGUGACAAGUUUUGGCCACACGAUCUAUAGCGUUGCCGGUGGACCGGAUCUGUCCAAGUUUUUGCCUAAUGCCAACUGUAGGUGUGCACGCUGGUAGAUGAAGUACUUUUUUCUGACGUCAAUAUGCUGUGGUUAACAAUAAUUUCUUGAAUGGAAUUAGAUGUUCUGAUUUUGGCAUUUUAUUUCAGGUUCAUUGAGGAUUCGAAUAGAGAUAUUAGAUGGGGCUCUUCAAAGCUGGAGGAAUUGGGCUUUCACUACAAAUAUGACGCUGUGAUGACCCUAAAUGACUCCCUUCAGUAUUUCAAGGUUCCACUUCCACUGGAGAGUUCCUAAAACAUUACCAUAUAAGCAUGUUUCUGUUCAGUCAUUUCUAAUAAGGUUGAGAAAUCCCACCUCACAAGUAAGGUGAAUUUUAUGGUCCCUUUUGGAACCAUUUUAUCAAUUUGUAUCUCUCAUUAAAGAUAAAUAAUUUAAAUUUUAAACAUUAAAUAAUGUUUAAACUAAAGGUCAGUAAUACUUCUUUCACCAUCUAACGAUGAAUUUCACUUGCGGGUAUGAUACCAAAAGGGACCGUAGAAUCACCUUAAACCCUUUAUUGUGUCAAAUCUCAAUAGAUAAUAUAAUAAAAAUAUGUUGAAUCUGUGAAAAAGAUAAAUAAUGCCACUUUCAGAAGAAAUUCUUGAAGUGGACUGUCAUUCAAUAAUGUUGUUGAAAUGGUCAAAACAAUCUUGAUGAUUUUUAUAUUUUGUGGUUUAUUUAAUCACCAUACGUACUGACAGUCUGAUACUGGAUUGCAUGAAUUAAAGGUACAGACGAGUCUAGGGUCUUGCCUUUUUGCUUUCAAUUUUGCCUUCUACUCCUUUUUUAUUUUUAUUAUUUUUUCAGAAUCUGUUCCAUAGUUUUUGGGUCUGAUAACAUGAUGAUUUCAGCCGAUCAGCUUACUCAAGAUUCAUCUACCAAAUGGUUUAUUUUUCCAAAUCAAACAUUGAAACUCGAUUUAAUCUAUAAUUCUACGUACACAUCACCUGAAGGAAAAAGGUGACCAUACAUCAAUCAUCAUGAAAUACAGAAAUUACAAAUGAACACUCUAUCUUCUAUGAUCCAUGUCUUCCGAGAUCAAAUCAAAUCCUAAACUAGCCGGUGGCGGUGGGUACCAACAUGUACAUCUAUUAUAUUCUCGGACUACAACUAAAAACUGAUUUCACAGUUUAUUCAUCUCUCUUUCCGGCUUCCGGUGCGGAAGGAUCAAAACAGGUACAAACGGUAACAGAGCCAGCAUUUUAUGAUAAUAUAGACACGUUUUUUUUUUUAUUGAAUUGCUCAGGGGAUAAAUGGAUUUGAAAAUCAGUUGAAGUAGGCGAGGUCGUCAUCAAGUGUGAAACUUGUAUCAAAAUCCACUUGAUCAAUCGAGAAAUCAUGAUCACCAAACGGGGAACUGCUGAUGACUGAAGUUGGAGUUGAUAUCAUGUCAGUAAGAUCAGACUCUGAGGUCUGCAGGAUGUUGUCUAUACCGAAGUUGUUGUCCAUUUGGCAUGAUGAUGAGAAGUAGUUGGACUCGGACGUUGUCGGAGAUAAAAAUGUAGGCGAAUUGCUGCCCAUCAUGUCACAAUCCUUCAUUACAUCAGAGAAGAAUUGGCUUUCUAGAAUGUCUAAUCCCACUCCUUUAAAAGAGAAGGAAAAUGAGCGGAAAAUCUCUUCUUUAGUUUUCGAGACCUCCGUUUCAACUUUAAGGCCUUGUCCAAGAUGUUGUAGCGUCUGUUCUGCUCCCAUUUGAUUACCUCCUUCUCUUGCCAGUGAACGAGCUUUCUUUGGUUUAUGCAUUUCCUUUCCAUCUGAACGUAUUGCUGAACCUGAAUUGGCGGCUUGAAUGCAACUAUGCCUUCCUUUAUAGGUUACCUCAAAGACGGCCGGAUCCUCGUCCGACCUCUGGACUUGCUUGGUUGCCAAACAGCCUCUUGAGUUUCGAUGAGUGCAUCGAUAAUAUGCUCUGCAAUUGCAAUACCUCCUCCUGUUAGUCUAGUCACACUCUGAUCCAGUAAUAUUUAAGCUCACACAUUAUUGAAGCACGGAGCCAAGAGAUUCAAGUUCAAUUGAGACCAUUGAUAGAAGGCCGGCAUAAUUCAGACAACCUAGGAAAGUCAAUUUUCAUAGACAGUAGCUCCUAAAAGACAAAAGUCAGGAAACAUAUGGGCUUAUCAUUUAAUGUUCAGGAGCUACUUUGCCUGGUUACUGACUGUAUCUGUAAUCCAUGGGACCAUACCAUAUACUAGUGAAUUAAGCCACUUGAGAGUAACAAGUUGUUGGCCAUAAUAUAAAUGCUCCACCUGAAUUCUAGAUAAGCUUCAGUACAUCAAUCAGACCAUAGUACAUUACGGUUAGGAAGAUGUAAAACAGAUGAAUUCAUUCGAGUACUAUUAUUUAUUGGUUUUGCAAAUCAGUCGGCAGAAAAUAUGUAUAUCUAUUUGUUCCACUAUUAUUUAAGUAGUACUACUAUUAGUUUUGCAACUCAGGUCACAAUCCUGCAUCCAAUUAUGAACAGUUCUUAAAGCGGCUGUGCCUGAUCCCUUUCAAUCCUAACCGUCUAAAAUAUGCACACAAUUUUAACCUUUAAUUGUUACUGCUCCAUUAGUCAUCCAUGGAUUUGCUUCUGCCCAAAAGGGAUAUAUAUAGUAACAAGGAUGUUCCUACCUACGGAGGGAGUAUUUGUGGUUUUUGACAUUUUUGUCACUCCCAGGCAAUUGUGCAGUUCAUGAUGUCAUAGCACAACCAAGUAGUCUGGUCUAGAAUUAAUGCACAAGUGAAAAAGAGAAGGCCACUUUUCGGAUAAGACAGACUGAUCGUAUGAGGUUGCUGCUUACCUUGGAAAAUUAGCCCCUAAAAUAUCUUUCUGCCCAUAUUUUCUCCAGCUGUGUCCAUCAUCAACGUGACCUUCAAGACCACUUGCAGAGCAAACGCGAACGUUCUCACUCCACUUUGGCAAUGUCUUUCUGCAGACGAACAUAAGAAAACUGAGAUCGCUAUCGAAUUCAAAAUUUAAUGAAAGAAUCAAGAAAACAGAGAAUUACUGGAGCACAGUUGGGGGCUUGAAAUGUUUACCUCUUCCUGGAUGCAUCUUUGUUGCAUUCUUGAUCCUUUGAGAAACCACUGGAAUUUGAGCCCUCAGUUAUUGGGGUAGUGAGAACAGGGGAAUGAAAUAGAGGAGAUUCCUUUCUGCCGGUUUCUGGCAAAGUCUCUUCUUCCUUUAAGACCCUCCAAGUUAACAUGGCUAGUGCUUUAUCAUAUGUAGAAACUAUCUUCUCAACCAAUGCUUCGCAAGUCUCCGGAGAUGUUACCGGAUCAAGUUGUUUCCUGAGUUCAUUUGCCAUCUCCCUACCUUGACUUAGCUCAAUUAUUAGAUUCUUUUGCUCGCUCGGAUUAACUUUUUCCAUGUUUGGAUCUUCACAAACACUGGACAGGCCUAUGGUUCUGAUUUGGGACAAAAGCUGAAAAAUGGAUUUGAGCUGGAGUUCAGAUGGCGAUAAGCUUGAGGAGCGGUUCAGAUGGCAAAUGGAGAGCACAUCACUAGUUUAACUAAUACUACUGGAAGGACAAACAUGACAGUUUGAGAUGGAUAGCAGGAUAUGCCCAAUGGACAGGAGCAGAUAGAAGUUGCAGCCUAAUUUCUCAGUUUGAAGAAAGUGGUCUAUUUAGUGAUGUAAAGUGCUGGGAAAAGAGGAGAUAUAAAGAAGAAGAAAAGUAGUGGGAAAGGGGAUGGUGCUUGACUGAGGGGAAGGAAGCUUGAAAUUUUCUCGUAUAUAGUUGCUCUGGCAGCUAAACGGGUUGUGGGGGUUGGGGGGUUUAAAGAACAAAAAUUGAUAGGCAUUUAGGCAGUACACGUUUGAUUGUUUGAAAUGAAAUCCUAGGGUGAAUUCCCGUAAAACUUGCAUAGAAUAUGUUAGGCGGCCCAUAUUGUACUCAACUAGUAACUCUUGCAUUUUACGUGAGGAGGAAAUUCAUACAUUUUCAUCUUAAAUUCACAUAUAAAACAUUUUCUCGAUAUUAAUUGUACAAAUCAUCAAUGCAUCAAGGGUAUAGGUUUGGAAUGUUAGCAUAUUUUGCUUUAGCAAUAUCAGCAAUUUUGUUUUCAUACUCAGUCUGCAAUGAAAUAUUUCUCUCAUCAUAAAAAAAAAUUGUUAUUUGUACUUCCACCAUUUGUUUUAUCAUAUAAUCUAAUAAAUAAAAAUUAUAUAUCAUUAAAAUAAUAGUAAGAAUGUGAUUAACAAAAAUGAGAGUGUCAAUAACAUCUAUCGAAUCAUGUUCUAUUUGCACUUAUAAUAAGGGCAGCAUCUAAAGUCUAAAAUGAUUGGAAGAUCUUCCCUCCAUUCACACAAAUCACAAUCACAUUCCUCUAUCUAAUCAACUUGGAUUUGGGAGAGAGACCGAUUAUCGCCAUUAGAAUUUGGGUGAAUACAACUAACAUCGCCGCGUACAAUAAAAAAAAAAUUAAGUAUAUGUAGUUAAUUAAUCUAUUAACCGUAAACUAGUCUAUCAUUAUAUACAUUAUUGCUAUCUCUAUUCUUAGGAUGAACCUUGUCAUCAUAGGAUUCUACCAUCAAACGAAAUGUCUUUUCUACCCUACCUAUCGUAAACUUUCAUAGUUGUAUACUACUCCCUCCAUCCCAAUUAUUUUAUCAUGUUUCAUGAAUUUAACCUUUUAAAAUAGUGGUUUUGAUUGUGUUGUUUAUACUUCACUUUCCAAUUUUAAUCCCACAAAUUCAAAAUUUAAAUUUAAAUGGUAGCAUAUAUAUGAUUAAAGGGAGAAACUAAAAAGUGUUUUGACUUUUUUAACAUGACAAAUAUUUGGAAACAUCUCAAAAUACAAAGUAAAUACUUCCAACGGGAUGAAGGGAGUACUAAAUAUAUGCAAGGAGGACAGCCUCUCGUUAGAUAGAUUUUCUCUCUAGUUUUGGAAAUUAUGACAACAUCCCAUAUACUUUGGAAGCAAUUUAGCCAACAUUUGAAGUAUAGUUAAUAACCAAAAAAUGUUAGUGUGUUUGAAUAGAGUAUUAUUUGAAAUAUUAUUUGGAAUAAUUACUGUAGUACUUUUUGUAAUGUGAUGUAUAUGAAAUAAAAAGUAGUAUGAAAUAUAAAAAUGUGAAUUGAAAAAUUUUUUUAUGAUGCAAGCGAAAUAUUGUUUGGGAUAAUUUGGCAAUCCUUGAAAAUUCUGAGAACGCGGUGUAUAUACUUUUUACCAAUCACGUUGAGAGGAGGAUUUAAGUACACAAAUAGAUCCAAAAUUUAAUUGCUGACCAAUUCAAACGGGCCACAUAGAAACCGGGGGGCCGCGAAUCGCUUUCAAUAAUAAUAAUAUAUAUUUCCCUUUUUUGAUAUCUCCUCACGUCCAAUAUCCAAUAGGGAAAUUUCAAGGAAAUGAAGAAAAUCUUGGAAUGCACCACAGGUGAGUAAUAGAAAUUUUCAAUCCAGUUGUGAAGAAAACUAGAAAAAGGAGAUGGCAUUCAAAAAAGUUGAAAGUCAAAGAUGAAAGUUUAAGACAGGGAGCCCGCCGCGGGAGGGGGGGGGGGUGGGUGGACAGGGGAGGCUACAGCGAGGAGUGCAGGCCAAGGAAAAGAUGACGAGAGAUCCGAGAAUCUUCUCACUCGCUUCCGCGUUGAUGCCCCAAUUUUUUAUUAUUAUUAUUUUCAUUAGUUAAUUGUUUUCAUCAUGCAAUGACGUAUAACAGGUGGCGUCACCAAACAAACAACGGAUAAUUUGAGAAACCUCCCUUGAGGUUUCUCAUAAUUUCACUUGGCUCCUUUAUGGUUUCAAAAAUUACACUACCUCCCUUGAUAAUAUUUUAAUAAAACUCCUUUGUUGCCAUGUUUAUACAAAGAAUGAAUUUUAUAAUUUUUCUUCCUUUUUUUUCCUUAUUCAUUUCUCUAAUAUUUCAUUAGAAGUAUAUAAGAACUAUCAAUGUUAUCCACGAUAUCUAUAUAGAUUAAACGUUAAACUAGUAACAUUUUUUCUUUGAUAACUUUUAAUAACAUCCAACUUUUUAGUAGCUCUUUUUUUGUAUUAUAAUUAAAAAUAAAUGACCCAAAAUCACUACCAAACUAUGAUAGUUCCAUCACUAAACUAGUCCAUAAACUUUUAUUACAAAAAAAAAGUCCAUAAAGUUAAAAAAAAAAGAUAGCACUUCUUUAUAUAUCUUAAAAAAGAAUCAAUGUCUCCAAUAAAGCACUAUAAAAAAAAUAGUUUAUUAUAACAAAAGAUUUAUUUUUAUAGUUAAUUAUCAAAUAACAAAUAAUGACAUGAAAAACUUGAAACCUUUUUUUUUUUACAUUUAUAUAUAUAUAAUUAUGCUAAAUUACUUUACAAUUGUUUAGGAGAACAAGAUAAACUUUAUAAGAUAAGGACAUUUUAGGAUAUUUAUUAAAUUUUUGACCCUAUUUUAAGAUUCGAUUACCAAAAUAUCAAAUCAAGAGAGGUAAAUGUAAUUUUUUAAACUUUAAGAGGACUUAAAAGUGAAUUAGUCAGAAACCAUUCCGAAAUUAUCCCAACAAACAAUCACCCCCUUGCUUACGCGGAUGCCUCCUAAAGCUAAGAGCCAGAAUAAAACAAUGAAGAAAAGGCCAAACAAAUGAUUCCACACGGCUGACAACGAUUGUGCUAAUUUAAUUAUUAUUACGACCAUACUCCUAAUUCCUAUUCGAGGUUUCAAACUUCCACUCGGAUUAUGCAUCCUAUAUCAUGUUCCAUCAAUUAUGACCACAACAACCGAAUGCAUGAAUCAAAGAAGGCAUCGAAAUUCAAAAAAGGGAUUCUUUUUUGUCUGGUUGGUUCGCUGAUUAACGAACGCCCCCAAAUUUGGAUAAACAACGCCACCCCCCAAACUUUUUUCCCAGGGACAAAAAGUCAUCCAGCGAGCAAGGAUAGCAAAAAGGUUAGCCCUUUUCAUUUAAUUUUUUUUUUUAAAAAAAAAAAAAAGAAAAAAAGAACGUUGGCCAUUGUCCCUUGAGAAGGGACACCUGUAGGCUCGCAAUUGCAAAUAUUAAAAUAGAGAAGGCCAGUUGAUGCUAGUAGGCUCGCAAUCGGCAACCGUAGACUCUCAAAUAAAUCAUCCAAAUAAACUCCUAUCCAAACAAAUUUCUAUUUUGACGCUGGUCUUUCAACUGUAGUCCAAAAAUCUCUUCUUCUCAGUCUCAAAUAUUCUAGGAUGUGCACCCACCGGCUUGAAGCUCAAAUGUUAAAAAUUUUGUGCUUUUAUCAAUUUGUGAGGGGCAAUUUGCGUAUCCGGGACUCGAUGAUACAGGGGGUUUAAUUGAUUGGCUGUGGCUUUUUCUCUGCUUUACUACUGGUUGAGAGAACAUAUAAAAUGAUUUUCUCAAAAAAAAAGAAAAAGAAAUUAACCAAGAAUGGAUGGAUGGCAACGUCAUCACGUGAUGAAUGGAGUGGCAUCACUUCUUAGCUCACAGCGAUGUUUUAUUUUUAAACUGUAAUUUGGCAUAUUUUGGUUGGUGAGUGAAACUGGAAGGGACUUGUGAGCUCAUCUUAUCUGCUAGACAGAAAAGUGGAAAUUUGAGUGAUCAAGAUUCUUGUCCUCCAUCAUUUUUCAACAUGUCUAUAGUUGUAGUAUUGUACAAGUCUUCUUAUUCAUGACAAUUUGUUUUUUUUUUUUUUUUGUUUUAUUGAGUGUGUUUGAUUUAUGUCGCUACUCUAAUGGUAGGUUAAACGUACACUAAAAAAUAACUGAUUUGCAAUUUAAUAGAUAUAAUGGAUGUGAAAAUUUAUGAAUAGACCCUAGAAGAUACAAGAAAAUUCAAGAUUGUUUUCUAACAUAAAUCUCUAUAGUUCCUUUCUGUGCAUGUUGAAAUUGCCAGAUCUGCUAAUCAACGGUUUUAAACUCUAAAAAUCUAUCAACAUAGACCCAAGAUCCAAACAAAUUCCAAAUAUAACGAUCAGAUCUAAAAUAAAUUUAAAUCUAACAACAAAAUAAGAAAAAGCAACACAAAAAUCUCACUAGGAACUCUUAGGACGAUAAAAAAACCUGAACACUUGGAAGAAGUCUUUGUGAAAAAAUCUUUAGGAGAGACUUUAUUGGUGAAGAGGAAAAGAAGUAGAGAGAAAUUGGAGAGAGAGAGAGAGCAAGUCCCCAGAAAUGAGUUUCAAACUAAUUAUUGUUUCUAGACAAUAAGCAGGGAGAAAAAUAAUCAGCCAAAUAUACCCAAGAGAUCUUGGAUAACAAUAAUAAUAAAGCAAGCAUGCAUGAUUUGGACUAUUUCCCUCCUAACUUCCAAGAAAAAGCCCUGCUAUGCUGAGGAAAGCGAAGCAUCGAAGUGAAUGUGAAGUUCACGUCCAAAAAAAGAGCCAAUACCUGUGCCAUUUCGCUUCUAGAUGCAAAAGGAGGCCGGCCACCCUUGGCUUUAUGUGAGAGCGUUAAACGUGUGGGACAUUUUUAAGAGUCCUACUACUGUGCCUUUCUCGCCUGAAAGCUUGAAUUGAAGGUCUGCGGUGUACAAUGCACAUCCCCCCCUCAGUAUUUUACCCGGUCAAAAUUUGGGUUUGGGACAUCAAUCCAAAUUCUUCAUCAUUUACUUUGAAUCUUCAUCGUAUUCUCUGUCCGUUUCACACGGUUUAUCAACCUUUCACACGUGCUAAGACUCCUCUGGUGCUCCAAAACGAACGUACGUAGAUUGGAUACAUACUUUAGAUUGUGAUCAGUGCCCCGCUGCUGAGCGUAAUGGCAUUCUUAAUUACUUUGAAAUUCUUUUUCGACAGACGGAGUAAAAAAGAGUAGCUAAUUAAUGAAACUCUUCUAUGAACUGGAUCCAGAUGUCAGUUCAGCAGAAAGAAUAAUUAGAACAGCAUCAACAUUUAUUUAGCAACCAACCAGCCAAUUGGUCCAAAUAUUAAUAUUAUACUAGUAUAAGGAUUUUUCUAACAAGUUAGUAGUGCUUAAUAAAACACUCGUUGACGCACCUACGUUACACUCAAACACACAAUAUGUUAUGUGAAUGCACAUAACAAUAAUUCGGUCUGCCUAACAGGUGCCUAUACGACACUCGAUAUAUUUCAUUUCAGGUGUUAUAUUUUUUGGAAAUAUAGAAUUAAUUAGAAAAAAGUAUAUAAAUACAAGAGAGGAUGAGCAAGACUAAAUAGGGAAAGUAUAUCAAUGUAAAGGAUGAUAAUAAUUCAGUACUUAUUAGUAUGUGUAUAUGUAUGGUAAGUUAGGUGAAUGUUAACGGGUGCUCUCGUUAGAAAAACCCUCUUAAUAAUUAUCACAUUCCCUUACAGUCAUAUGCUUUUUCUAAUUAAUUUUAUGUUUCUAAAAAAACAAUGCUUGAACCCCUAUUUAUAUUAAUACGCGAAAUUAAAUGUUAUGAAUCCGAUAUUUGCCAUCUGCAUAUCACCCUAUUUAUAAUCUUACAUAUAUAAUAUGGGAAACUAAUUAAUGUCAUUUGCCAUCUAUAGAUCAUUGGAAAUCAAAUUAGGACCAAGUGUGAUUUGAUAAGCAAGUGACCUUUUUUUUUUUUAUCAGCAUGAUGAUCUCUGGUUGAUUAUUAAUUGGAUGAAAAGGUCAGUGGUAUUAACAUUUCGUCGUAUGUGGCAAUUAAAAGUGGCAAUACUAAGCUAUUGGUACAGAUGCCAUGGACGCAUGACCAAGUCAUCAUUAAUUUUUGUUUUCUUUUACCUAAGACCAGCAAAAAAAAAAAAAAAUUAUUUUAAAAAAAAAGUACUAGCAAAAUGGUCGUCAUUAAUUUUUUAUUUUUUGAGUUUUUGGGUGUGUUUUGAGGACAUGUAACGAAAAUCAUCUCAAAAUCAAAACUCGUACAUCAUCUCAUAUUAAACCAAACCGCGUUGUGUUGUAAUGGGUGUGGGUGCAGUGCAGGACUUGGUCAAUGCCAAUCCUCAAAUCCAAUUUUUCGUUUAUAGAUUCAUUUUUCAGUGAAACGUGAUUUUGAGGCUUGUCCUAUCCGACAUCGACAUCGCAAUUUUCAAGUCUUCCCAGUCAAAAGAACACAUACCAAUUACCAUCCCUCCAAAUUCCAAAAUGAUCUCUAUUACUGAUUCAAAUGCAGUAACUUUUUUUUUUUUUUUUUUAUUAAUGACAAACCCUGUACACAGGGUAGGGGAUGCCAGAAAUGCAUUAACAACAACGUUAGCCAACAAAUACUCUGCAAUUACAGAGUUAACCGCCCUUGCUUAAAGUUCCUUUAAAUCCAGCUCAAUCUUCAGCUUCAAGUGGCUUUUUGUACAAAUGGCUUUUUGCCCGUGCCUUGCCAGAGUAAUUAAUGUUCCAAUUGAACUUCCUGCAGUUAUUUCAGUUAACCGCCCUUCAACUUUUAAAAAUCUUCUGAAAUUGUCUUUUGUUUUUCUUUUCUGAGGAAAACAAACUUCCAAAUUUAACCGUAGUUUUCUUCUUCUUUUAUUUAAAACCAAAAAGAAAAAAAAAAGUUAGACUAAUUCACAAUUUUCGGCAUUGAAGUCUUAGAGGAGAGAUAAUAAUUGACAGAUUUUCUUUUCUCCAACAUAUAAUAGUAUUCUUCCAAAAAGAAAACGUAAAGCCCACUGGGCUUCGGUUGGAUCAAAUAUUCAGACUGGGUAGCCAGCGUACAACGCCUAAAGGAUAAAUUAGCGUUCAGGUCAUGACCUUCUCCACUGGUAUCUAAGAACUAGGCCCACUUUUACACUUGACGAGAACCAUGAAAUUAUACUCCUUAAAGUUUAUUAAUUGUUAAUUGAUUUAUAGUACUUUGUCAUUCAUUGGAUAUGUAGCACAAAGGGCAAAUCUGGUACAAAAUUCUAAUUUCAGUUCCUAAAAUAAUAUUUUAAUCGUUUGGACUAAAUUUGCAAAAGAUUAGUAACCUCAGGGGAGGUCAGUGUAAUUUUUCAAACCACAGGGGAGCUCAGUGCAAUUAUCCCUAAGUAAUAAUUACUAAUUAGUGAAAGUGACUUGAGUGUACGACAGUUUAAUCGAGUCGAGUCGAGCUCGAGUAGUGCUAUACUCGAGCUCGACUCGACUCAUAUAUCCAUAGGCUCGAGCUCGGCUCGAGCUCGAUCGAGUAAAAAAAUUGAUACUCGAAACUCGACUCGAUGUACUCGCGAGUAGCUCGAAACUCGACUCGAUAGGCUCGAUAACGAAGGGUAUUUUGUAAAUUCCAUAUAACUUAUACCCAUAAUGGUCAUUUUAUAAUUAUAAUAUAUAUAUAUUAUUUAAAUUAUAAAUAUAUUAUUUAAAUAACCCCGGCUCGACGAGUAGCUCGACGAGCCUCGAGCCGGGGAUUUUUGACUCGAAACUCGACUCGAUUUUCACUCAAGCUACUCGAAACUCGGCUCGAACUCGGUCAACCCGAGUUCGAGCCAAGUCGUUGACCAAGCUACUCGCGAGUAGCUCGCGAACACCCCUAGUUUGGAUGAGCUGCCUAGAUUCCAACAACUUUUGACCUUGUGUGAUGUUUCAAAAUCUGUUUAAUUGAACAAACUAUCAUUGAUGGUUCAUCUCAAUCGUAGGGAAAAUAGAGGCGGUUUAAAUUGCGAAUUUUUUCGGAAAAAAAGUUUUUUGAAUAUUUUCUUGACACGUUUUUAAAUUAUUUUAUUUUAACCUCACAUACAUCACAUCAUUAUAAUAUAAUUUCAUCAUAAACGUACUCUAAAAGCAUUUCCCAAGGCAAAAUCAAUAUGCCCAAACUAUACCAUAUUUGUUUUAAAAAUAGUGGUAUGUUUGGAUGGGAGGUUAUUUGAAAUAAUUACUGUAAUACUUUUUAUGAUGUGAUAUAUGUGAGAUAAAAAGAUGGUUAGAAAUUAUAUGUACGCUGCAAAUAAAAUAAAAUUUGAAUUUUUUAUUCGAAAAUAUUGCAAUCCAAACACACAACAGAAACGUGAAUUAGAAAAUCUAGUUCAACCUUGAAUAUGUAACUCAAGGUAACCCACGCUGAAUUAAGAUUGGAGAGUCCCAACACUCCCCUACUUCAUACAUCACACUGGAGCAUUAUCUAAUUGAACAAAAGGCCAAAUAAAUCCCAACAUCAAACUGAUGAACUGAUAAUUUUGGAAUGGUCUUUUGGCUCCUCUCGUUGUUUGUUUGCAAAACCUUCAGAGUGUUUCAUCAACCAAAAUCUCUCUAUUUCCUCAGGUUUACGGCCUGGAAUUCUCCCAGCUAUCAAUGCCCACCUGCAAUAUUAAUUCUCAACCAUCUUCCCUCUAAACUAAAGGAGUAAUCAGAAUUGAAGGCAAGGGAAAAAAAAUUCAGGCUGGAAAAUGAUACCCACCUAAGAAAAGUUCAGCAAGUACAGUGUAUUAUCCACCACACAGGGUCAAAGUUUUUUUUUUUUUUUUUUCCGCCUCCACGUUUAACCCCUCACGAAUAGGGGGUUUUUCCAGAAAAAGGAAAGAAAGGAAGGAAAAAUGGUACAAAAUUUGUUGCCAGUCCAAAUUGUACUUGUUUUGCCACAGCAUGGACUUGUUCACAACGCAUAUACUGCUCUGAUACUUUCUUUCUCCACAUUCAACAUGUAUAUCGUCAAGACAUAACAGAUUAUUGAAGAAAUUGGAGAUUACUACGGGGAAAAAAAAUUCAUGUAAUGCACGUUAAAUAUUAUUGUUCUAAAAUAUGUUCGACAAACAACCUAGUGCAGGCCAUUAAUGUUUAAGUGAAUAUAAUAGUAUAGCAAAUUUUGUUGAGUUGGUUACCUGUCUCCGACCAGCUUGUGCAUUCUGUAGAUGAGGUCUUCUUCCUGUUCAGUCAUGUUGAUGAAGUCCCACGCAAUACUGCUCACCUCUGUGUUAAAGUACCAAAUUACCGGUCUUAUAUAAAAAUGGACCAAAAAAAAUGAUGAAGAAAAGUAGGGAAUGAAAACUUGAAUUGACAGAGCAUAACCUUUUUUUUUUUUCGGAAACGAUAAACCUAAUCUAUCCUAUACUAAGGGGAAGGGGCAGACCUAAGGAGGUACAGAGAUAAAUCCGGAAGGGACUGAACCACCACCGGACCAGACGGGUACACAGCACACCCGCCUGAAUUUUUUUGGAAAUAAGCCACCUAAAUGUGACAUUUUUGGUGAGAGGCAAACCCCACCAACUAGGUGGUGGCCACUGAGCCAAUGGCCCAGUGGUUACAGAGCAUAACCAAAGUGGUUAAAAUUGGAAUUCGGACCAACCUUCGUACGAGCAAGAUUUGACGAUUUUCCGCUGCUUUGCCCGACCAUCAUCCAUUGUCGAGAACUAAGAGAGAAUAUCAAGAAAGAAGAUGUGUGGAUGCCUGAUGCGGACUUUGAAGCACGAGAGGCUUUUUUUUUUUUUCCCUUGGGUUAAGUUGCGGCAGUUUACUAACUAGCAAGCGCGGGAGAUCAAAUGUGCAUAGUUGGUUCAAUUCACAGGAGCGGAUCACUUCUUUUUUAUAGGAUCAUAUGAUGUGGGAGUUGUGUUGAUAAAUAAUAUGUAAAUAUCUCUUCAAGUAAAUUAAUAGUUUUGAAGGCAUAGACCUGGACCUAUGAUUUUAGAGACGUGCUUUGAUCCGUGAGAAUAACCGGAAUCAAAAUCACUCAAAAUUUUACUUUAUCUAAGGAAAAAAAUUUAAUAAAUGCAUAGCAAUAUACCGACAGAAUUCAUAAAGGCUACCUCCAACUCCAAGCCCUUAAUUUCUAAUUGGUUGUAUACGUAUAUACAUACGUGCAGGGUAUUCAUAUAUGUCAAGACACAACAUGGGACCCGUAAGGCGUCCCAAGUCACAGACAGCAUCGUCCGCAGCGGGGGCACGAUAAGGGAUGGCAUUAUCAAACGGACAGACAAAUGCUUGGGAUCCAAACCAAUCGAGCCACUCGCUGAUUAUAUCAAUUUCACUAGUCUCCUCUAAAGUUUGAUAACAAAAUUAGUCCAAUUAGAAAAAAUAACAUUAAAAAAUGUUUUAAGAAGAGAGAUUAAACUUUUAUUCAAUAACUACUCCUUAUGCGUGUAUAUAAGUUGUAUUAGUAAAAAAAUAAAAAUAAUUAAUACGCAUAUUUCAUCUUUCAAAAAAUUCAUAUUUAAUAAAUUAGACAAUACAAAUAAAUAACAAAACUGCAUUAAUGAUUACAAGAUCUAGCAAAACAGACUAAUCAUCUUUUUUCAUAUGAUGUUUGCUAUGAUUCUUGUGAUUUUGAACAGAAAAAUUUUCUAAUUUUGCCUUUUUCUUCCUCCUUCCUCCAUUAGGUAAAUUUUUUUGAAUAUAUAUCUAAUGGAGGAAAGAGGGAAAAGAAAGGUAAAAUUCAAAUUUUGAUGUUCAAAAUCACAAGAAUCAUAACAAAACAUUAUGUCAAAAGAGAUGACUAAUCUGUUUUUUUUAAUCUUGUGAUCAUUAGUAUAGUUUUGUUGCUUAUUUAUGUUGUUUAAUUUAUUAAAUGUGAACUUUUUGAGCGGUGAAAUGUGUAUACUUAUUGUUUCUAAUUUUUAAUUAUUUUACUACUACAAUUUAUAUACAUGCAUAAAGGGUAUUUAUAGAAUAAAAGUUUCGUUUCUCUUUUUAAAGUACAUUUUAAUGUUAUUUUUUGGACUAAUUUUAUUAUCAAAAUCUUAACCUCGAGGGAGAUUUAUGUAAUAUUGUAAAUUUCAAGAAAGACUAGUGAAUUUGUUAGAAACCUCAGAGGAGGUUUCUGAAAUUAUCCCAACAUAAAUUGAUAUGGCUCUCAAAAUUUACGGAAACUCAAACCCUCAUGACUAUUAUCCACCUCAUUGGUUCCUUUAUAUACGUGCGUGUGUGUGUGUGUGUGGUUGGCUGAAAAAAUCUCGUUGGAUGUGCGAUCUUUUUAAUUAGGAUAAUGGUUAUUUUAUGGUAGCUGGUAACCAAUCCACAGUUUUAAAAUUUAUUAGACUAAUAGAACUUAUUUAAACAAUUAGGAUAUGAUGUUUAAUUUAAAAAAACUGCAAUUAUCCGAACUUACCUGCAUAUGUAUAGAGUUGGUUACAAUGACUAAUUCUUGUAUCUAUAAUUAUUAGUUAUAUGAUACUAAAUUCAGUUAGGAGACCCAUUAUACAUCUAUCAUUUUUUCCACAAAUUUUGAACUUCACUCAUUAAUCCUAACUCCCUUCUACCAUUUCCAAACCGUUCAUUCAUCGCCACUAACUCAUGCGCUUUACUAUUAUGUUGUUCCUUUCUUUUGUUGUAUACAAUUAAUUUCCUUAUAAAAGCAUAUUAUUAGUAUCUAUAUUACCAUAUGAUUAAAAUUAUUUUUGAAUAACAAUCAUAAAAGUAUUAAGUUUUCUUUUAACCAAAUUUCUUAUAAUAAACCAAUUCUUAGUUUCUUUAAUUACUAUAACUUUAAAAUAGCAACUAAGGUGACAUUAUAUAUGUUACAUAUGAAAUCAAAGACAAAGAAAACCAAAAAAAAAAAAAAAGAAACUGCCAUAAAAAUUGAAAAAAAUUUCAACCUUGAUUUUGAAUAUCUCACACUGAUAAUAAAUAAAACGGCAUAGAGUUUAAUUUUCAUAUUUUUCUAAUUUGGAUAUGUUUUGUAUUGUUUUCAAUGUUAAUUUAAUUAUAUUUUUUCAUUUUUAAUCUCAGUGUUGGAUAACUCUAUGUCCCUGAUCCUAUUCCAUAACUUUAGAAUAUGGAAUAAAAUUUUUGCUAUUAGUAUCUACGAAAUUAUAAGGAGACUGGUUACUUGGUCCAUGAACACUUCUACUCGAGCCUUCUACAUUGUACAAAUAUUAUUACUAUAUUAAUUACUAAAUAAAAAGUAAUUAAUUACUACAUUGUACGAAUAUUAUUACUAUAUUAAUCACUAUAAAUAUCAUGUAUACAUCACAAAAGCUAUUCAUGAACAAGACCUUUACUAUAUUGAUACCUUUUUCUAAUUACUCUUUUUUUUGAAUAGCUCCUACCCCUCUUUGUACUUUUUCAACCCUCAACUGUCAGAUUCAGAAUUCGAACCUUGAAUUUAGAAACUAUAAGAGUCAUUCCGUAAGACACUGGACCUUCUCUAAUUACUCAUUUCUGAGAACUCUCUAAUUUCAAAAACUGAUUUAAUCAUCGGAGUGAUUCUUGGGACUUGACUUAUAUGUGUUGGUAGUUCAUUCUUUUAUGUAGGUCAUAUCCAUCCAAGUCGAGCUAUCUUAGCCCAACUUAGUUCAGUUUGGCACUAUUAUUUAAGGGUGCAUUUGAUAAAUUUGAAGUAUGAAAACUGAAAUAUGAAAUUUGAAUCCAUAAGCUAUUAAAUUGUUAAGUAUUAAAUUUAAUACAUUUGAGUGUACAUGACAUUCAGUGAUAAGUGAAUAGUUUAUCACUUAUUUCGAGAGCAAGUUUUAUCUAAAAAAAUCUAAUGCCGUUUAAUUAAUUUAGAUAUUCAAUUUUUAGUUAUCAAACGCAUCGGAACAUAUUAAGAUCUGAAUCCAUUAAAUUUAAAUGCUGAAUUGGAUUAUCAUAUAGGAUCUAAGUGUUUUUAUAGCUCUCUUAGUUUAAUUUUUUUAUAACACGUGCAACUCAUUUCAAAAUAAUAUUAAAAACUCAUUUUAGAAGAGAGAAUAUAAUCUCAUUCCAAAUAUUUCAAAUUUGCCAUUUUAUUGUCUUAGUUUGUAGUACAAGAACGUGAUAGAACUAUAGGAGGAGGAGGAGGAUCAUAUUAUUAAUAAUCAGGGACUUUGAAACUUCUUCUUCUUUUUUUUUUUAAAGCACAGUUAUCUUUUUGAAACGUUGUUCUUCAUUUGCAUUUCAAUUCUUGACAAAUUUUGUUCAAAAAGAUGGAUGCAAGCUCACCUGGAAAAAUCGUCGAUCAAUGACACGUAUAUGCGAGUUCAGGACAUAGUACCUUGUAACGACAAAAUACAAGUCAACGUCAUAAUUUACUAGCAUAUUGUAUCAGAUUGAAUUUUCCGUAAACUAUUCCUACCGAAUGACUGACAGAGCUGCAUCCCCUGUGGGGUUUCUAUCCCACAUCGGUUCGGGGGGGUUUGGGGUUUGGGUUUAUUAAGGUCUGCGGGAGCCUUCAAAAGUUGCCGGCUUUUGAAGGUUUCUCGCAGGUCAACUUUAGUAACGAAAAAGUCUGAGUUUCUCAGUCAUCGGAAAAAGACAGAAACCUCGGGGAGGUGAUCUCUCCAUUUCAGUGGGUGUCUGGGGGGUCUUUACUUCUUAGCAGCGGGGGCACCCCUGUGGGGUUUCUAUCCCACAUCGGUUCGGGGGGGUUUGGGGUUUGGGUUUAUUAAGGUCUGCGGGAGCCUUCAAAAGUUGCCGGCUUUUGAAGGUUUCUCGCAGGUCAACUUUAGUAACGAAAAAGUCUGAGUUUCUCAGUCAUCGGAAAAAGACUGACAGAGCUGCAUAAGACACAUUCCAAUUUCAGGCUACUACGCAAGUAGCCAGAAAAUCAAAGGUGCCGGGUAACCACUAGGCCAAUGGCUCAGUGACCACCAGGGAGGGACUUAAGUUCCUCCUUGGACUGUUGGUGAGAGUUCAAACCUCAUCAGUAGUAAAAAAAAUUUAAGGGUUGUGUCAUAGCACUCUCUUGAUCUAAUUGGAUCUGUAUACCCACUAGCCCUUAUUACAGCCUCCUUAGGCUCCCCCUAGAUUAUGAUAGAGUAGGUUAUACAAAUGUAUUUUUGCUGACAAAAAAAAAUAAAAAUCAAAGGUGCAAGGUGGCUUUGUGGGUGGGGGGAGGGGGGCCCACAGUCUCCCUACUAGGGGGGGUGGGAGGGUGCGGUCCUGAUUCUUGACUGCGAGGGAUAAUGCCAAGAGCAGCUUGGUGUGCCGCAUUCUUGAUUUUUGGAAAGAGUAGGGAAGAGAAGGUUUAUUUAUUAAAUUAAUUUUAUAUGCACUCACGAACAUGAAUAUAUGUUAUUAUCUCAAUAUGAAUUUCAACUUCAAUUCUUAUACAUAUAACAUCCAUUCAUAUUGCCAAUAUAUAUAUAUAUAUAUCUGUAUAUGCUAUAAGUAUAUAUAGGAUUAAUUCUUAUUUAAAUCAAAAUUUGCUUCCAUUCACAAUAUAUAAGUUAGUGUUUACGCUCUAUUUACCUCUUAUAAAUAAUUUAGAUGUAGAAGAGCAUUCUCACCGAAAGAAUUGUUAUUCGUACCAUUAAGUGUAGCCAAGAUGACAUAUCACUCGUACUUAUUCCAUUUGUUAGAAGAUGACAUAUCACCCGUAUUGGCUCGAUGGAAAAACGAACCUCCAUGCUCAAGCUGAUACAACCAUUAGCCUUAGGCAAGUGGCCACCACCAAGCCAUAUUCAAACUUUACCUCCCAUCAAUUUGUCAUAUUUGUGGUUCUUCAAAAAAUUCAGACGGGUGAUCCGGUGGUGGUUCUGUCUCCAUCGAUCUCCCAUAGAUCCAGUUGGAUCUCCCCCUAAUUAGAUUAGGAUAGAAUAGGAGUAGGAGUAGAGAUGACGAUUGAAGAAAAAAUAAAAAUGCUCAAGCUGAUACCAUCAUCAUCAUCACAUACACACAUACGUGUAUAUAUACGUGUGUGUGUAUAUAUAUACACACAUGGGCCCAUGUGUACACGCACAUGGGCACCUACUUUCAAGUUUCCAGUAGGAAGCAAAAAAAUGAGGACAGAGGGAAAAACGAAAAAAAAGGGACCAAUGAAGCCUACUUUUCGGCUGGUGCUUGCGAUGUACUUAUCUCCGGACCCUUGCCAUUCUGGACCAAACUACACGGGUUAGGAUUACCCUACCGUAUGAUGCAACAUGUAACACUUGUGAUACCGAAAGUGUUUGAGUUAAUUUCAUUUUGUCCCCUCAAAAAACUAUAAGUCAAAUUUCACUUCAGUCUCUGAAUUUUAUAAUGAAACACUUAAGUCCCUAAACUAUAAGAUGUGUUCCAGUUAAGUAAAUUCGGUAACGGGAUAAAAAAAAUUGAUGGUGUAUUAAGAGUGUGAACAGCACCUUCGUGUAGCAUGAUUGUGCAAGUGUUACAAACCAAAAAAAUAGGGACAUAAAAGUAAUUUCAUCUUUUGUAAGUGUUAUAAACCAAAAAAGGGACAUAAAAGUAAUUUCCUUUUUUUUUGGUCUUUUCCUUCUUCAUCAUUCUUUUUUUUUUUGUUUUUUCCUUUUCUUCUUCUUUCAUCUUGCCCUUUUCUCAACUUUUCCGGCCAAUAUCAAGAAAAAAAGGAUGGAGUUCACUGAAAAGAACCCAACCAAUUGAUGCAAUAGGCAACCUCCUAUCCUUUCCCCCUAUAGUUGUCAUUGACUCUCCAAUUUUUUCUUCCCUAAGUAGCAUUAUCACCAACAGCAGUAGCUUCUUCAUUGGAUCUGAACUGCUGCCGAAGUUUGACCCGAUCCAAGUGGUGCAAGUGUUCGUUUGGAUUACUGGCGGCGAAGUUGGAGCAGCGAGUUCACUAGCUCCCAAAAUCGGCCCGCUCAGUCUCUUCCCCAAGAAAAUUGGGGAAAAGAAACUACAAAGGAUUGGAAAAGGCCUCUAGGUCAUCUUUAUGCUCAUCGCCCAAAAUCGUCAGGCCAAAAAAGAAAAUUUCAAGUAGAAUGCAUAAUUUAGACUACAAAAUUGGGGAUGUGAACUAAAUUGUCUAAAAGAUGAAAACAAAUUGAAGGUGUACUUGGUUGAGAUUUCGAAAUUGAUAUCACAAUUGGAUUCAAAUACAGAAGGUUAGUAUGCUUUAGUAAAGGGGGAAAAAAUAUGGGAAUUGCUAUCCAAUAAGUUUCUUGCCUUUUCUUUCAGUAUUCUUUCACUCAAUAAAACCUUCAAGGCCACUGUAACCUCCAUGGAAGAUCCCAUACCAACAGAUCCAAAAACAAAUUUCAAGCUUCAAGUUGAAAUUUUUUUUAACUUCUUGAUGCAUGUUUUAUCCCUGGAAUCUUUGAUAUUGAAAAGAAACAUAGAAAAGUAGGAAAUUCGAUGAUGGCUAAAGCGGACAGAGAUCAGCCAUUAUCAAAAAGAGGGGAGAGUCAAUAUUAAGAAUGGAUUAAUGGUGAUGGGUUUUGGUGACCAGCAAAAUGCGGGGGCGGAAAAGGGAUUGGAAAUAGUGGGGUGGCGGGGGUUGGAAGGGGAGAGGUUAGAGAGUGACAGCGGUGGAAGCUGGGGUGGUAGAGGUGGGGAUGCGACUGGGAAGGAUGGGGAAGACGAAGAAUAAGGACAAAAAAAAAAAAAGAAAAAUGGAAGGACAAAGAAGAAGGAAUUAAAAAAAGGUAAAAUCAUCUUAUGCCCCUAUUCUUUUGGUUUAUAUAGUUACACAAUCACACAUUAAUGGAGUGUGUUCUUCACACUCCUAAUACACCAUUAAUUUUUUGAAUUCCAUCAUUGAUUUUGCUUAAUUGGAACACAUUCUAUAGUUUAGAAAUUUAAGUGUCCCAUUUUAAAAUUCAAGAAUUAAAGUAGAAUUUCAUGUAUAAUUUGGAGGGACAAAAUGAAAUUAACCCAAAAGUGAAUUGACUGAUGCUCUUUGUCAGAGAUUGGAAGACGAGGCAAACUUAGAAACAUAAUAGUUCAUCAUCUCAUCGGUGAGCUGCGUCCGAGAUUGUGAAUUUAUUGAUGCUCUUCGCCCCAAUUUAAACAAGAGAAAGGGCCAAAAUGUGAAACAAAAAUCAAAACGCCGACUCCCAGCUAAAACAGAUACAAGCCAUUGCUUACCCCAAUUUCUGCUCGCACACAAGAAGACCUUAGCAAUCCAAGAAUAUCUGUUCAAAAAAGGUAGCAAGGCAACCUUCAAAGAAAUGCGGACACGAGUGGUAUUUUAAAAGGGGAAAAAAAUUGAUUCUCAUGUUCACACCCACUUUAAUGUUUGUUUAGGCUUAUAGGAAAGAUGCUUGCUAAGGCUCUUUACUCCAUGGGGAGUUUUCGCGGGCUUGCCUCUGCCCCAUUUGUCUGUGUGACAAAUUACACACGUUGAGGAUAGAAAAUCAGCUAAUAGCAUUCAAAGGAGAAACAAAGCUGAUGUGCAAAUGUUUUACCCUUUUCCAAGUCUAUAGCUAAAAAAAAUGUCUAGAUGUAUACACUAGAGGAGUAUCGUGCUCGAAGAUGGUAAGUAGGGCGAAAUAAAGGACAUCAGACCAAAAACUCAUCUCGUCCACCUUGUUUCUGCAAAAAGCAGACAGGUUAGUUGACCCAAUCUACAAGAUGACUGACAAUUUUGUAUGGUAUGUAUCAGCAACAUAAGCUACAAAGCCGUCUUCACCACAGAUGACAAUUUUCAUUCUAUACUUGGCUACUCAAUUUUCAGAUUACCUACAGCUGAAGAAGUGUAUCUAAAUACAAAAUAAAAAGAAGUCAUAGCUUACAAUCUGCACAACAGUGACAACAAAGCUUCUAAAGCCUCUGAUACAGGCAAAUGAAUAAUCCAGUAAUUGGCCAUUAAACAUUGGGCAGCAUUGCAAAUGGGAUGCUUCUCACCAAGGUUGGCCCUUUCCUCCAAGACGUCGUGCCAAUUCCCAAUCUUUUUUCACUGAGUGGCAAGAAGCAAAAGAAGAUUCAAUAUUCUUCAAAUACGAGAACCAAAAUUAUCAGCAUCAAUGUCCAAAGUGCACACAGAGGGAUCCACUAUGACUUGGAACUGAGAAAAAAAAAUGGAAAUCUGAAAAUGGAUUUAUUUGUUUAUCACUUUAGAGCUGGAUGAGUAGUCGUAGCUCAGGAACCAAAGUACUACUCAUGGGCCAGGUACUAGAACCAGUGCUUCAAACUGUCAUAUACAGUCCAAAAUGUGAACACUUGAUUACUUUGAGUUACAAAUAGAGUAGAUGACAACAGUCAUAUAAAUAGCAAGUGUUAUGACAAUGGAAACAAUGCUUCAAAAAACUUCCAUAAAACUCACAAAUGAAUUACCACUCAGAAACAACAAAUUGAGGACAUUCAAGAAAGACCAGAACUUACUAAGUGUUACGCGCUUUGCAUGGAUUGCACAUAGCAUUGCAUCCUCAAACAACUGAACCAGGUAAUCCUCUGCAGCCUAUGAGCGGAGUGAAAUAAUCCCCAGUGGUUAUCCACUAGUGUUGAUGAAUGAAGAAAAUGUAUUUUACCAUAUACACUGAUCAAAAACCAAUAAAAAAUAAAAACCACACAAAUAAUCCCCAGUGGUUAUCCACUAGUAUGUAUUUUACCAUAUACACUGAAUAGUGAAACUGAAAAUUAAAAACAAUAAAAAAUAAACUGUCUACACAUAAACCACGCAAAUUACUGCAACUACUAAGACAACCAAAACAUUGGAAAGACAAACCUAUCAAUCUAAAAUCUUUCUUACCUCCUGAAGUGCCACCAAGGCUUCAGCUGUCCAACGAGUAACAUCUAGUGUAUAAAAGUUGCUAAUUUCUUUCACCUAGAUUAUAAGUAGUAAUCAGAACCUACAAUUGGAAUGAAGAACAAAGCAAGGAGUAUACAACUUCCUUUACUGAAUAAAAUGACAGUCACAGACAGUAAAAGAAAGAUAGAAAGUGCAGGGGAUACAUGUUGAAAAGCAAAGAAGAAAUUGCUCUAAGGUUUCGUUUAGUUCUUAAGUUUCGCCUUUAUGUCUUAGAAAUCUGAAAUCCUGGAAAUGAUAUUCCAGGAAUUCCAGAUCCAGUCUGAAAUAGUUUUUCUUAUGAUGUUGGUUUCACCAGAAAACUGACAAGAUAUCUGGGAAAAAAAAUUAUGUGCACAUUAAGAAUGAAUAAGUUAUCUCUAAUGUUAUCCUACUUACUUGUCACCCCAAAACUAAUUAUCUCACCUCCAUACGAUCCAAUAGAAGUUAAACAAAAUCUAAAGUUGCAUUAGAUUAUCCCCCGUACAAACUUAGCCACACAAGGGAAAAUACAAAAUGAGUAAUUCAAUCACAUCUAAUGCUGUCUAAUAUUAUGAACCAAAAUGCGUCAUGACCAUAACAUCUGGAUCAUUUGAAAUGCAAGACAGCCCAAAAAGCUACAAGGAAUUCUAUACUAUCUCUAGCACUUGAAAUUCAUUGUUUUAAAAAAAUAUACUUAGCAUAUCAUAGCUGUAACUGGAAUUUGCAAGGUAUUGGAAAUGUAAACUCUUUCUUUGCCAGUUUAUUUCUAAUUCCUAACUCAAUCACGGAUUCAAAAUGAUCAAGCCGUCAAAUUCACAAUCUCCAAACCAACAAAAAUAAUUAUAGUCAUAACAAUAAUAAUAACCCCAUAACAGUGAUAACAACAAACUAACAAAGUUAAACAUACAGCCUUCUUACACGCCCAUGGCAAAUCAUGACCAAGAUGCAAAUCAUGCAAAUACAUAUGCAUAUAAUGGAUAGGGCGUGUAUGGAAAAAUAAGAAGAGAGACUAAAUCUGGACCGACUGUAUCUGCAUGCAUACUUGGAAUCCUGGUUGAAAGACAUCUAUAGCCAGGAGGAGCAAACUCAAAGCAAUUAUAUGACAUCAUCAGACCUUAUUCAAGAAAACUAAUUUGCUCUACUUAGCACUCAUAUUUUUACUUUGUAGUCAUAUUUGCACACAAAUAUCUACUAACACAUGACAAGCACAGACAUCUUCAAACAUUACUCAGUUCAUGAAGUUGUCAGUGUACACUACGAAUUGACAAUUAGUUGAAGCGUUCAUUGAUGACGUGCUUUCAAAAACAAGAGCUUAUGCUGAUUUAGUGUAGGAGAUGUACCCUACAACAUCAACAGUGAUGCCCAUGAGUUAGUUAAUCAACAUUCACUAUUCUAAUUUUCUAGCAGAAAACAAGUUUACUGAAGCAAUUAAUCAAAAAACAGAGUCAUAACCCGACAACAAUACAACUGACAACGUCAAGAUCAUGACCUACAGAAAUUCAACUACAUAUACAGACAAGACUGCUGUAGAAUGACAUUGCAGAAUCCAAUUAUCUCUUACAAAAUUUGGGCAAGAUAUAUUCAAAGCUCCGUUACAACAGUUAAAGCCUCAAACAUCAGAACUAUGAGGAUGCAAGUACCCGUAUUUGUAGAGCAGCUCAAAGUUCACAUGUGUUAAGACAUGAAAGGACAAACUUUACUUAGCUGUCAAUGCUUUCGGGAAGUGGGUUCUAGGUCGACUUUCAGCCUAAUAUCCCCAAACUAUAUGUUUCAUAUGAAACUAUUACAAGAUUUCGAAAAUAUAAAACACCUAAUAUAACAUUAAUUAAAAAAUCUAGUACAGAUCUUUAAGUAUGCAUAUAAACAGGUUGCCCCACUCAUCGGCACACUCACAAGCAUGAAUCCUGGACAAGCCUAUAGAGAAAAACAGAAACAAAGCGGAAAAUUACAAGUCUAAUGAAAGGAGCAGCAGGAAUGAGGAGUUUCCAAGUCCUCUGGAAAUGCCGAAUUUCCCUAAGAGCCACCGUCCCUGGCCUGUGCCGAUAUUUCUUUUUCUGCCUUCCCGCCUGUCUCGGACCUUUAAUCGAACACAUAAGAAACCAAAAUCAACAUUUCCCCCAAAACCAGCCCUCACCUAUAAUUCUCUGAAGAUAUACUGAGUUCACAUUUCCACUAAAAAAGGGGAAAGAAAAUUUCACAGAAGAAAAAUUUAACAACUUUCUAGAUUUCGCUCACUUGUUUUUGCUGCUGGGCUCCUCGGACUUCUCCUCGUAGGCGUCUGUUAACUCCAAAAAUAUAUAUACAUAUACAUAAAACAAAUUAGUCAAACGGCGUAGUAAUGCGUCUAAAAAAUGGAGAGAGGGAGGGAAGUGAAAAGGAGUACCGCAGCAGCGGAAGAAGUGGCGGUUCCGGCAGUGGCGACGCCUGAAAAUUGACAGGGGAAAAAAUAAAAUUAGGGUUUAAACAAAAAAAAGAAAAGAAAAGAAAAGAAGAAUCAAUUACUGAAAAUUCAGAAAAAGAACGAAGAGAUGGGAAGAAAGGAAUAACCGGUGGGUUUAGUAUGAUUUCGGGUUCGUGAAGCCGGGUGUUUGGUUCUCGCCAUCAAUUUUACUUUUUUUUUUUUUUGGUUUCUUCUUGUUUUGAAGUAGUACUAGUAGAAUAAGGAGGUGGAGGGAAAUUGAUGAAAGUUGAAUCGAGUUGUGAGUUGCAACGGUAGGAUAAUCUUGGGUUUCCCGCUCGAUUUCAGUUUCGAUUUUGGUGCUGUAGUUGUUUCGGUUUGGGUUUGGGUAAAACCCGUAUCGUCUCUGAUGGUGAUGGGUUUCCCGGCCUUUUGUAAUCCCGUUUGGCAAGUAAGUUUUUUGAGUGUUUGUUUAAAAUUUUACUGUAAUUUAUUGUAGAAGUUUUUAAAAAAAUUGUUGAAGUGUAUUUUUUUUGAAUAUUUUGAAGUGUAGAGUUUAAAAAUUUUGAGAAAUUUUUUGAGAUUAUUGUAGCUAAAGUUUUUAAAAAACUUGUAGCAGAUAAACUUGACAAAAAACUUGUCUGCCAAUACACUAAUACGUGGCUUAAAAGUUCAUUACUACUACAAUUACGUGUUUAGAUGCUGCUACUACUAUACUUGUUAAGCUAUAAUGACAUUUGUGUCAUGGAUCCUACUAGGAUUUGUUUGAUGAUCUCAGAAGGGCUUUGAUGAUUAAGUUUUAGGCAAAGAUUACUGCAACUGGUUAAUUUGAAAUUGAUUUUGCCCCCCUCCCACCUAAGGAACAGCUUCAUAAUCAAUUGCUUUUUGGCACUGUUUUAUUCAUAAGUAACCAAAGGUAGUACUCCUCAUAGAUGGUUCUUAAGCCUUGCAUGUUUGAUCAUAUUUUCUCAUCUUCAAUUUAUGCAUAGUUAGAUUGAUAAUAGUGUAUUGUGUCUGCGAAUCUCACAAGGCAUAAGGUGAAAAAUAGAUUAUAGGAGUCUUUUGAUUCUCCUUGUAGGGCUGCUGUCCCGGCGAGUCGAGUCAUUCGCAAUUAACUUGCCAGCAGCUUUGUCAAAUGCUCAACUUGAACUUGAUCGGUAGCUCGAUGCAUAUAACAAGUCAAGUUCGAACCUUCAUUUGUGCAAUUCGAGUGCUCGUCGAGUAGCUUGAUUAUUAGUAUAUUAUUUAUCUUAUAUUCUAUUUUAAUUAUGAAAUGACUAAUAAAGAUUUAUGUUUUAGGUAAUUUACCAUAAAUGUUGUCUACUCAAUAAAAUUUAUAAAUGGCAAAAAAUGUGAUAUUGUAAUAACUGAAAAAGAAAUGAGAAUUUUAGAUAGCUUACCAUAAAUUUUUGAGCUUAUUUUUUUCGAGUUUUAUUUUGCGCCCUAGAACUUGUUAAAGUUUGAGACUAGUCUCAAGCUUCAAGUAGCCGAGCUCAAGCUUGGAAAUGCAUUUUGUUGAGUUGAGUCGAGUUAUAUAAUUUUUUGUCCGCUCGAGUUCAAACAGCCUCAUAUAGCAUCGAGUUCGAACUCUAGCAUAGCAGUACGCGAACUCAACUCGACUCAUUAACACCCUUACUCCCAUGUAGUCUAAAAUUGUGAAAACAUGCAACAAAAUAAGAAACAUGAGAACAAAAGAAAUCUCCCCUUUCAGACUGAGCUGGGCUCUUUCAUGACAUAAAUUUCUCGCAAUUGAAAUCCAUCUAAUCCUCUGCUUUCAUGUUUCUGCAUAUAACACCUCAAGAUUCAGAAAAGAAAAAGUUUUAUUAGAUCACAUCUUCAGAGAGAGACCACGCAUUGAACAUUGCGGAUUCAUGCACAGAGCCAUUUUUUGCCUGCAGAUGCGAUGGCCUGCUUGCAGCUGUCAGUCUAUGUAUUGCUUGACAAUUACACAAUCCCAAACAGUCCACCGGACCCGGCAGGUUUUGAUGAAUUGUGCACAUAGUAAGAUGCCCGAAUCAGGCAUAUUUCAAAGACGCAAUUAGGAAUCCCUUGUUUAACACCAGACACUUCUAAGUUGUGGACUGUAAGAGCAUGGAUACGAAGGAAAUGUAACGAUACUAGCAUUCAAGCAUCAUCAACUUUCUUCAUUCACCCUUUGCUUACUGUCCGUUUCUCAUGAGUUUAAGAUGGUGAAAUCAAGCACAUCAGUAAACCCAAAUAGAUCUAAACCUAACCACACAACAUAUAAGAUGUUACUCCAAACCAGAGAUGCCGCAACUAACUUAAGUAUCGUCAACUGAUGGAAAUCGUGUCCCUGGAUCUUUCACUUAGGUAAUCACAAGUUCAAAAAUUUUCAGCGAGCAGCACAUAUUGAAGAAUUCAUGAAGUAGCUCUGCCAUGUCCCGACUCAAACCUGCAUUUUAAGUGCCUGAAGCUUAAAA
rnacentral:lncRNA from 1 species